UAGGGAAUUUCCCACAAUGGGCGAAAGCCUGAUGGAGCAACGCCGCGUGCAGGACGAAGGCCUUCGGGUCGUAAACUGCUUUUAUGAGUGAUGAAUAAGACAGUAGCUCAAGAAUAAGGGUCGGCUAACUACGUGCCAGCAGCCGCGGUCAUACGUAGGACCCAAGCGUUAUCCGGAAUUACUGGGCGUAAAGAGUUGCGUAGGCGGCUUGUUAAGCAAGGUGUGAAAUCGUACGGCUCAACCGUAUACA
rnacentral:rRNA from 1 species